CAACAUUUGUUCUUUGUUGAUUUGUUGAAGAUAGCCAUUCUGAAAGAUGUGAGGUAAUAACUCAUUUUGUAGUUUUAAUUUGCAUCCCUCUGAUGAUUAGUGAAGCUGAGCAUUUUUUCAUAUAGACUCGUACUUCUUUAACAUUUGUGGGUGUAAGAUAGUUAACAAUUAACAUAAUAAUGAGAUUUGUGGUCUCUGCUCUGGUGUUGGUUAUGCUUUGAGGGGUCCAGGAAAAAAAAUCUGAUACUCCAAAGGUAUGUUAUCUUAGAAGCAAAAGACAACAGGCUUAGUUAAGGUGAAGAUUUGACUUUUGUUAGGCAAAAAUACUGCCCUAACACAUCACUACCCUCCCUGAACUAUUUUUAGUUAGAAAUUUUUUUAAUUUCAGACCACUCUAUGGGGUUCUUUUCGUCUCUGAGUUUGUAAGGCUGCCAUGCAGGCCUCCCAUAAACGUGUAAGGUUUAAAUUGGUAUAUGGCCCCUUUUUUUGUCCACAGCUUUACAGUGGCAACUAAAACCUCAGACACAGACUGAACUGGUUACCUAACACUCCAAAUGCAACGUCUGGGGCUUGUUUGAAGCCUGAGACCACCCAGUGUUAAGGCAAUGAUGAGGCAAUUGGGGAAAUUUUAAUCUGGUUUAACAGACGACACUAAGAAAUUAUCAAUUUAGUCUGGUGUGGCAAAGGCACUCUGCUUAUGUUCCAAAGGCCUUAUUUUUCAGACUUGCAUUCCAAAAACAGAAACUGCAAAUCCAACUUCUGUCACCUCCCUGAUAAUGUUCAUAGCCUUUGUUUUUCCUAUCGCCUAAAAUACACCAGACACCCUCCCCCAUUAAGUUAGACCUGGUGACCUGGUGAAUAAAAGGGGAAUGAAGUGACUGUGUUUGCCAUGUUAACAUACUGGGUGCCAUCCCAACCCACCCCAAGUUUCUGACCCAGAGACUUGAGCGCAGGGACUUGAGAAUGUGCAUUUCCAAGAAGUUGCAGGUGAUAUUUAUGUUGCUGGUCUGGAGAACCCACUUUAGAAACCAGAGUUCUAGAAGAAUCCUCUCUGGGCCAGGAUCUCAGAGUGAUGAAGGGUGGGUGAGAGACAUUUCUACCGUUCUCACUUCACUGUGAGAUGUUCAUGCUCAUAACUGAUCAUACCUCACAAAAAACCCCCAAAGUUCUCAGAACCCACAGUCCUCAAGAAAACAUCACUGUUUUGAUUAGACUCGCCCCAUCAGUGUCAGCUGGGUUCCAGGCACACAAAUCCUCAUAGAAUUAAUGGUGCAGAGCUGCCCAGAGGGCCUGGGGCACAUCCUGAGCACAGUCCUCUGGGUCUUCCUACCUGGUUAUAGGAUGGCUACUUCCAGGAGGAAGUUCUACCCUCCCCGUGUCUCCAAUGGGUCCUGCCUACAUAUUGCAUUCACUCGUAUCUGGCUUCCAAUUAUGAGAUAUCAAACCCUGUUAGAGCCAGUUGGGGUUGGAGCAUGUUUGAAACAAGGUUUAUCAGUGAUUUUCCUGACAUCAGAGCCAUAAACUUCUAGCUGGCAGAGGGUCACAAAAUGCAGACAGCUCCAGGAAGGGCCCACACCCUAGGACCUUGAUCUAGGUCAAGGUAAGGAUUAAAAAUCUGACCUGGGCUCAGUGAGUGUCCAGGCACCUCAGAGCACCAUCCUGCUACUGGCUGAAGCCCCUGGGCAUGCUCCUGCUUCAUCUCUGAGGUCCCUCACUGCCGCCGAGCGCACCUAUCUUCACCGCUCCUCCACUUUUGUACCAAUUCUUCCAGUUGCACAGUAUUUCCUCUCAUCCCCUCCAUUUACGCUUCCAUACCAAUUUGCUUGCCUUUCACAUUUUCUCUGGAUGUGCCUUUAAUAUAUUCAAUUUAAUUCAGAAAAAAA